GGGAAGCCAGGAUCCAGGGAACCCUAGAGCAGGGGGAUGGCAGAGCAAAAUUCAUGGCCUACAGCUGCCUCUUGCCAAACUGCACUGGAUUUUGUGUCUCCCAUUCCCCAGAGCUGUCUGAGGUGCUUUGGACCAUGGUGA
rnacentral:precursor_RNA from 1 species